rnacentral:rRNA from 1 species
GUCUACGGCUAUGCCUCCCUGAACACGCCCAAUCUCGUCUGAUCUCGUAAGCAGGGGCGGGCCUGGUUAGUACUUGCAUGGGAGACCACCGAGGAAGACCGGGUGCUGUAGGCA